CCCCAAUUCCCGCCCCCACUCGCUCUCAGAUCCCUUCCACCAUUGUUCUUCCCUUCACAUCUCCUCCGUUCUUCGGCCCCCAUUUCCCAUGUCGGAAGAAGGAGAAGAGCUCGAGGUCGAGAUGGAGGCCACCGCUGCCUCGGGGCCGACCCCGUUCCAGCUCCAAUUCGACAAGCCCUUCCCCUUCCAGAUCAAGAUAGCGGAGUGGAAUCCGGAGAAGGAUCUGCUUGCCAUGGUUACGGAGGACUCCAAGGUCCUUCUCCAUCGUUUCAACUGGCAGAGGCUCUGGACCUUCUCUCCUGGGAAAUGUAUAACGUGUCUUUGUUGGCGCCCUGAUGGUAAAGCGAUAGCUCUUGGUCUUGAGGAUGGUUCCAUCUCACUACAUGAUGUGGAAAAUGGGAAGUUAUUGAGGAGCAUUAAGUCCCACAAUGUUGCUGUUGUCUGUCUGAACUGGGAGGAAGAUACACAGCUUGUGAGGGGUGACAAUGACCACACUUAUGAGGAUCGUACCAUGCGCUUCUUUCCUCCUGCUCCAAGAAUUCCUCGGAUGCCUGGACUGGGUUCUGGAGAUACUGGGCUCAUGGAUGACCCCGUAGAUACUUUUCAAGAUUUUUCCAAUUCUUCACAUCAAUGUUUUAACAUUCUGUGCAGUGGAGACCAGGAUGGCUUUAUUUGCUUUAGUAUAUUUGGAAUUUUCCCAAUAGGAAAGAUUAACAUCCACAAACUCUCUGUUUCUUCUCCAUAUUUGGACAAGCAGGCCACAUACCAACUACAAAAUGCUUCUAUACAAAAGGUGGCUUUAUCUAAAAACCUGCGUCAGUUAGUUGUUCCAAGCUUUGGAGAGCUGGUUGAAGACAUUGUUAAAUUGAAAGAUAAAUUUAUACAUACAGAUGGAGAACUGGUUGAACUGGACAAAUCUUCUCGUGGUGAAGACUCUUCGGUGGGAUUGCACUGCCUGAUUCUGAAUACUUCUAUAUUUCUCAACAGAAAAAAUGAACUACAUCAGGUGGCCCUGCAAGCUUCAAGUAUUGAAGAUUUAAUUGAGGUCGUCCGUGCUUCAUUGGCAGUGAUGUCCAAGCAAUGGUCUGACACCAUGACUACAUUUCAUGAGAAGUUUGACCCUCUGUCUUCUUUGAUUGUUGACCAUGGAUUAGAAUCCAAUUCUCAAGAUGAGUUUCUAAGUCUGUUAUUCGGGGCACGGACAAGUCCAGCACUUCACCAGUUUCUAGUUAACUCACUCGGUGAAGUGGGUGUGAAGCGUGUGUCUAAGGCCAUUGAUAAUGCUGGAAAAGAGCUUCAUGUUGUUGUACAUGAACAUCUUCAGCCUGCUGUAGAAAUUAUUGGAUUCAGAAUUGGAGAAUUGAGAGGCCUUUCAAGAUGGCGUGCACGGUUUCAGACUAUUGGACUGGAUGAGAAGCUUAUUGACAGUGCAACAGAAAAGGCUGGAAUGUUGCAUGUGCAACUUGAACGCUUUUCAAGGGUUCUAGCAACUGUAUUAUAUCAGUUCCAAAAUUUCUUUAACUGGGUUGCCAAAUGUAUAAAGAUACUAUUGUCUGACCCAACUGAUCAAAUACAACCACCCAACAGUGAACUCGUUGUUAUAUUUCUGAAGUUUCUUCUUGACCAUGAUCCAGUUGGACAGUUGUUGGAAGUAAAUCAUACAAUUGAUGUUGAUCCGGAUGCCAAGCAGCGAGUUGAACAACUUGUAAUGUUUGGUGGAUUUUUGGAUACAAGGUUCUUGGAAAGAACUUUAGCAAAUGAAUUCAGUCAGCUGGAGCAAUGUUUGAAAGAAGCUUUCUUAAUGCCAUUUACCACUAUUUCAAAGAAGAUACAUUGUGAAGACUUGUUACCGCUCUAUCCUCUUCCAUCUUCACCUGUAGCUUCAUCAUUACAUGGUCCAACAUCAAUAUCCUACUACAAGGAUAACCUUGAUAGCGCUCCACAUGGCCUUGUGGACUACAUAUGCUUCAGAAUACCUGAUGAAUCAAUGGAUUUGACAAACUGUAUUGGCGUAAUAAGAGGGUCUACAAAUACCUCCAGUUCUAUUAAGGACGUAAGUUCACCUGGAGCUGUUUUGCUAUGCAUACCCGAUGGAUAUCACUGCAUCGAUCUAUCCCUAUAUAAGCAAAGAGAGAUUGUUUUGCUACUUAAUGAAGCAAACUCAACUUCUGAGAGUCCUGGGAAAUCAUGGAUGAUGAUGGUACAAACAAGUGAUCUUUCUUUUAUGCCUCUUUCAAGAUUGGGGCCUACUAAUCUCUGGAAGUUGCGUGAAUUGAAGGCUUCUGCUCUGGACCUGCACAUUGAAAAUGGAAAAGUUCGUUGUAUUCCUCACCGUGUAACCAACCCACUGGCAGUUAGUGCUUCCCGAGGUGUUGCUUGUGUCUUUUCGUCACGAAGGCAUGCCUUGGUGUAUAUACUUGAUGAAGAUGAGGAUGAAACUUCUGAUAUGGAAUGAAUUUCUUCAGAGUGCUGUAUGGAAAGUGAGGAUCAUUACAACAUCUAAACAUGACUCGAACAUUGUGAAUCCCGCUCUGGAGGCAUCUUAUCUUCCGAUGUUGCUGCUGUAUGGCCGGCACAGGGUGCUGAAAUGAGCAUCAUCUUAUACGAUCAGAGUAUGGGUUCAUCACCCUGCUUAUUGAAGCUUAUACUAUCAAGUAUCUACCGCUUUUAGUGGAAGGUUCUCUACAAAGCUAGAAAGGAUUGCAUUUCACAUCCAGAUGGUAAAAUGCAGUCAUCAGUUAUCGCCCAUUUGGGCGUGGCAACUCGUGGAACUCUUUGAAAUAUAUGUGCAUGUAGUACAGAGUUCAACAAUGUAAUUAUAGGAUAACGCUGGUUGCAGCCAUAUUUGAUGGAGCUAGUGCUCUGUCCAAAGAAACAAAAGCGUUUAAGAAAGCAUCGAGGAAUGCCAUCUAUCCGGAAACUCUACGGGCGUAAAUUUGUGACGUAUCGAGUGGGAUCAUGAAUGAAACCUGGACCCGCGGAACUGCUUGUACGUUAGAUAUGUUAUGCACGUGGCUUGUAAGAAGAGUUUUUUUUCUUCUUUUUCUUUUCCUUUUCUUUAUCCUUUUUUACUUUUAAAGGGCGUUGGGCAUUAAAUAUGAGAAAUAAAUUAGUAUUAUCCAAGAUA